CCUGGCGGCCUUAGCGCGGUGGUCCCACCUGACCCCAUGCCGAACUCAGAAGUGAAACGCCGUAGCGCCGAUGGGGGUGGGGUCUCCCCAUGCGAGAGUAGGGAACUGCCAGGC
rnacentral:rRNA from 1 species